rnacentral:hammerhead_ribozyme from 1 species
AUCCAGAUGUUGAGUGCCAAAUAGGACGAAAUUGGCAUCCUGGAU